rnacentral:lncRNA from 1 species
GGCCUGUUUGAGCAGGCAUUGCAAAUCUUAAAAACAAUAAGAUGAAUAAUCAUCACUGUUUGAUCACUGCCAUUUAUUGAGUACCUUCUCCAUGGCAGAUGCUAAGAUAAGACCUAACAUGCAUCAUCUCUGAUUUUACAAGUCUUCGAGGUUGCAGCCAUGAAAAUGCCCUGGUCAGCCAUGAUUGACCAUGACAGGGGUACUAGUGCAGGCCUGUUCCUGCUGGACAUGGAACCCCUCUAAUGGCUUAAGGACUCCCACUGGCUGGCAGAAACUUUCUUAGAACAACACUGUAGUCUAAGACUCUUCCUACUGAAUUCUCUUUCCUUCUCCCUCUCCUUUCAUGGGGGUCAGGCCUGCACUGCAGUCUGGGGCUUCCUCUGCCUACUUCAGUUCCUUCCUGAACAUUUUACAGGUGUUUCCCCCAAUAAUUCUCUUAUAUGCCUAAUCCCAUCUUGGUGCCUGCAUCUCGAAGGAACUAACACAGUGGACAGGAGUCCCAUUUUGCAGACAGACACUGGAUCAAUGAUGAAGUUACUUGUGUAAGUCCUACAGCCAACAAAUGUUAAGAGCUGGGGUUGUGUGCAGGUAUGUUUGAUUCCACAAGCCAAGUCUUAGAAGCAUACUAGGCUUCCUCUCUAAUGAUCUAUGCAGGCUUAACUGUGAGGACAGGGAGUGAUGACACAUUUCAGUUUGGCCCCUUUGUUUUGUCGAUGAGAAACCUGAGACCAGUGAGGGAAAGGAUUCGCCCAUGGGUGCCAGUGGGAGGGGUGCACCUGGGCUGUGCACAGCCAUUUCCCUCCUUUGGAGGCUGAGGGAGGAGGUCACAGGGAGGCCUCAGGGUAUGGAGGGAGGUCAGGCUGGGGGGCUUAGUGUCUGACCCACCAGCCUGGCAGGCGGGAAUGUGCCUGUAGAAGCCCACGGCCCUCUUGGGGAGAAGCCAUGAAGUGAGGACUGAGUGCUGCCUGGAGGUGCUGGCUGGGAUGCACAGGGAAGAGCUGUCAGGGUAUGGGUCUAACACUGGAACAGCUGGGGGACAUUCCCUGGAUAUCCCUGCAUUGCCUUGAGGCUCUCCCAUCCCUGUUUGAUCCGUAAGCUCCAAGGAGACAUGUUUCCCAGCCAUAAUGCCUUCUGAUCCCAAUCUCUUCUACUCUUUUCAUUGGCAAGAGUCAUUCUCACCCGGGUUUUCUUAUAUAAUAAUUAUAAACUCAUUCAGGGCCUGUGAGUGAAAAGGCACACAUAUACAUUCAGGUCUAAUAUUCACUGAGCAACCAUCAGCACAAUGGUAUGUGACCUCUUUGAAUGCUGCACUAAUGCUCCACUGUCUAGAAGGAGGCCAGACUGCUCUGGGGACCAGGUGCAGAGGGUGCCCUCAAGUGUCUAGUGUCAGAGAGAGAGGGGCUACUCCACUUUGGCCAGGGUGAACUUGAGUUGGUGAUGACAAACAUCUGCAGCUAGUCUAUUUUUCUAAUCUCACCCUCCAAACAGCCCCAUCUUCUUGCAGGGAGGAUGGGUGAAGGCAUUUUCAAAAAUGGACAUCACAUGUGACAAACAGGCAAAGGACCCUGACAGAGCCACAAAACUGACACGCUCAUGAAAACUCAGACCGCUGACAAUGGUGAGCGCCGACCAAUUCAGCGCCAGGCGUGGAGGCUUCUGGCAAGAGUGGUGGGCUCUGUGCGUCCUGAUGGUGGCAGCAGAGACCAGCUUGGGAGCCACCUGGCUCCUCUGCCCUAGCCCAUUAUGGCCUGAAUCCAAUCAAUUUCAGUUCUCAGCACUUCUGAAAACGUGCGUGGCUUAGAGUGUCUGGCAGGGCUCAGGAGAGAAAAGCAUUUCUCAGCCCCGGGACACAUAUAUGCCUCCAGGCACUGGUUGUGGCUUGCAAUCUGGGAGGGCAGGUGAACGGACACCCUCCCUCCUUGCACAGGCCUGGGAUCUGCCUUACUCAACUCCCACUUCUACCAGGAGCAGAGGAUCACCGCUGCCCAGCACCCCGCCCAUCUGAAUUCUGACUCUGGUGGCUUCAGAGAAGCAAGGUAGGGGCCAGUGCUGGUAUGAAAUGCCAGAUGAGAGGAAACUGAUGCAUGCACUUUACUCCUGACUCAGAGUGCCUGAAAUAUCUGGCAAACUGGCAAAGGAUGAAACCCUUCUUUGAGGUCUGUAGAGUAGCUUUAAGAUAAAUGAAGCCACUGAGAAGGUCCAAAACAAGGGGCCCUUAGACGUGGAAGAGGUCUGCUUUCCUGAUAACUAGAGUGGUGCUGGGCUAUGAAAACAGUCCAAAUAGAUGAGGAUAGUUCCUGAGAGCACAGGGUUCUGAAGCUGGACAAAUAUUCUUCCACCUUAAUGGCCCUCUCACUGGAGCCUUCACAGGGUUAACGAUGGUCCCGCAGGAGUUGGGGCCAUGACUGAGGACAUGGAGCUGAUGUGGAGGCAGUCAGGGCCAAGGCAAGAGCCUCCUUGUGUAUAGUGGAAACGCAAGACAGACAUCAAAGGGAGUGGGGUGUGCGGUUCCCAAGGGGCUACCAGAGUCCACUUUUAUUAAAAGUUUGUGUCUUUCUUUAGAAAGUAAUAUGUUCCAUCUCCAGCACCUGAAGGCUCCUUUCAGGGUGCCAGAAGAAUCCUCAAGGGACAGUCCCAGGCUGUGUCCUUCCUCCUGUCUUGGCUGACAUUUUUAUGCAUGGUUUAGGCAGCCCAUGGGCUUUCCAGCUUUGCAAUAAGAUCUGAUCUAAUUUCAAGCUUAUACAUAACAGAAGGGCUGGGGGAGAAGUAGGAGUUCUUUUAGAAUUGCAAAAUCCAGGUGGGUGUAGCCUGUGGGGUGCAGGCUAUCCAGCUCAAAGAGGGAGGCCCAUAUCUCAGAUUCCCUAAUGCUCGGCACAGUGUCUGGCACACAAUGGGCACACAGGAAAUCCUGCACUGAAUCAAACAGAUUUUGUAUUACCAGAUCUAGGCUGACUCACUGUGUGGUCAGGACCUUGGGUCAAUCACUUCACCUGGUGACUCACUCCCUACCUGUAAGGUGUGGAGGACAGCUGGAGUCACUGUGGCACCUGUGUGUUUAGCAGUGUGUUUGCUUGUUCCUGCUUUUAUGUCUCUGGCUGGUCUAAGAUGGAAUGAUAAAAAAAUAACGGAAUGCACUUUGUAAACGAGAGCAUCCUAGACACAUGUAAAGAUUGGAAAAUUAGAAAGCUGUCUCUACUGUAGUUACUUCUCAGAUAUGACCAACCAUUAUUAAGAAUUCAUUGGCUAAUAGGGCUACAUUUUCUCAUGAUCAUUCUUCUGUUUUAGAAGUGGGCAACUGCAGUUUUAAGAAUAAAUGUGUAAAUGUGUGUUUUCAUGAGAGACAAUAAAGCUGUUUUCAUUAAGAAUGAAAUAUGCAACUUGCAAACACUUUUACUUUUCUUGAAUUGGGUCCUUCAGCAGAAGCAGUUUGCCCAGCCCUGACAUGGAAAGUUUACUUUGCUCAUCAACCUGAAGGAGACCGAAAGCUAUGAGAGGCGGCUCCUGAAAAGAAUCUAGACUCCGGAUAUAAAAAGAUCUUGCAACACAAGGCCAAGUGGAAAUCAUGGUUCGCAUUAAAGGCAUAAACCUCCUGCACUAACAACCCAGAGCAGGAGGAAAAGCUGGGAGACCUGGCUCAGCAGCCUUCCCUGAGGGAAGCCUUCGGGGCUUUGUUCCUCUUGAGAUCAGGGCAAGCCUAUGUAUGACCUGAAGCCAAUACAACCAGCAGAGCUGAUGCCAGUGCUGGCUGCCUGAGUGCUACUAAAGAAAGAGUCCACCAUCGGCUCCCUCUUCCGUAGCCAGACACAGGUGGAAUGCUGUGCUUCCUUUUGGGAGACAAAGCAGAAGCUACCCCAGAGGGGGCAGAUGGGAGACAGGCCCAGGCAAUGCAGCCCUACAAAGAAGACUUGAAGGGCCGGGGCUGAGCAGCUUGGAUGAAGAGAAGGCUGCCUUUCAGAGCUGUUUCAAAUGUUUCAGACGUUGCUAGACAAACUAGAGUUGUAUGGCUUCAGAUGGCACAGCUUAGGGCCAUAGAGUGGGAAUCACAAGAAGGCAAACUUUAGGCCCCCAGGAGAGCUGGACAACAACCUGGAGGGUCAGAGGAGAAUGGGCUGUCCAAGGAGCGGGGAUAUGAGGGUGGGGCAGUGUGGCCAUCCCUGGAAGGGGUAAGGGAGUGGCAGAUGGUAACCAUUUGGGGUGGGGUGUGGCUGAGGAUUCCUGCAAGGCUAUCAGAGAAACUCUAAGAAUCAUAAGAAUCAAAGCUCAAGUACAUGAGGGAAGACAUAAUGAAAUCCCUAAAGUUCUGAGAGGUUGUACCAGAUUCUUUAUGGAGAAUACAGAGAGAAUGCCUCCUGACUCCUCAUUCACAGAGUGCCAGGCAGCAGCAAGGAGAAGCUGGUGGCCUUGGGAGGGCAAAAACUAAGGACAAGGUCCACAAUGCAAUCAGCUCACAUCACCUACGAACAAAUAAAGUGGGGUGGGGGUGGAGAGUUGCUAGAGUUUACGUAACUCUCAAGCCUUAAUUUAGCUGCAAGAACUAGGUUUUUGCCAAAGCUAUAGAACUUCCCACCAGAUGAAAGCUUUAUCUCUUUUUCUUUCUUAGGAGAAGAGAGACAGAAGGAGAGAAGAGGGGCAGGAGGAGAGAAAACACAAGAAAGAGGAUGGAAGAUAAAGAGGAAGGUUUUUGAGACUAUGCAGAAGUUAUUCCAUGAGUUCCAAGCCCAGGUCAUGAAAGAUAACUUGUAAUAAAUCUGGCUACCCUGAAGCUGCCAUGCUUGAGAGACCACACGAGAUGGAGAGAGAUGCUUAGGAGUCCCAGCUGUCCAAGCCUCCAGCUAUGUGAAUCUUCCCAGCAGCAACUGCCAGACAUGUGGUACACCCAAAAUGACUUUGGGGCUACACUUGGAAUUGGCAAGGUUCCAGAAAACAGAGGGACUAUCAUCAGAGACAGCGCACAAAAAGUGGGAGAAAGGUCACCAGCCUCACUCAUGUUUAGGGCUAUUAUGAAUAAAGCUGCUAUGAACACUUGUUUACAAGUUCUUUGUGAGGACACAUGUUUUCAUUUAUCUUGGGAAAAUACCUAGAGAUGGAACUCUGGGACACAUGGUAAUAAAGUAUAUUGGCAUAAUGCAAGAGUCAAGAUGCAGAAAAUAACUACUGUGUGAUGUCUCUCUCCCAGCUUUAACCCGCCUGAAGGGCAGCACUGAGUUCAACACACUGUCCCACAAUUGUUGCACUCUCACACUGAAGUGAACAGAUUCUUUCUCCGUGCCGUGCAGCUCCCGGCAGAGGAUGAGGGAAGGGUACCAUCGGUGAUUCAGCACUGUGUUUCCUAUCCUCUUCAAUGACUCUUUCAGCGAUAUGAAGGUAAAACCAGUUAGGUGAAUGGAGCACAUGGCUAUGCUUUGUUUUAAAUGAAAGUCUUUGUCAUCCAGCGGAGGACUUUAAUUCAUUUACAUUUAUUGACAUAAAUGUUGACUUGAAAGCGUGUGUCAGAUCCCUUCACUAUAUCUUCAGACCUGCCCCAAGGAGUGAGGAAGGGCAACACCAAGAACUUCUCUCCAAGGACCAUAACCUGCGAACCCCAUCUCACCUCCUCCUGCCAGAUGGACACAGUCAUUGUCCUCCUGGCUGAUCCCAUGUCCAUGUCUUGCUCUGGCUACUUUCAUACACCCAUAAUGACAUUUUCCAUCUACUCAAUUUUUUAAAAGCUCAGCUCGAACCUCACGGAUUUUCCUGACAAUCUGCUUCUCUCAAUGGCCUUAAUUUAAGUGAGGGUUGUCAGUCUUACUGGGUCUCGUUUUUUGUCUUAAAUAAUAACUAUUUAUGGGUAUCAAGUGUCUCCUCAAUUUGGCUAUGAUCCUUCACGGCAGAAAUACUGUCUUAUCUUGUGAUCAUGGAGUCACAAGAUUUCAUGGCUAGGAAUAUUCGUCAAAUUAAUCCUAGAUUGAGGAUCAGGUAGUAUGUGGUCUGAUUCUAACUCAACAACUUGCAGAAACUCACUUCUUUUUUCUUUUUUUUUCCCCAGGAGGAGCUAUCGUAUUAACUGACGAAACUCACUUCAUUUCUUUGGACCUGCAAAAUGAGGAUGGGCUCUAAACCACCUCUAAAGUUAAUAUUCUAUGAUUCCAUGAUAAGGCUAUUUGUCAUUUAUAAAAAAAGGAACUUCCACAUAGCCCAGAGAAAGGAAAUGACUUUUUCAAGUUUACAGAGUCAAUUAAUGGACGAAAUGUAAUUUGAAAUUCAAUCUCCUGAUCCCCAGUCUAUUGGGAGUUCUUUCAGAAUGUCCCUUGACUGUCCCUCAAAGUGCCAGCAUGUAUGAAACCUUGUUAAGGAUGUAUGCUCAAUGAAAAUACACAAAUUGACUUAACAAGAAACUAAACUCUCCAGAAAGAUGCAGUUGACCCAAAACUCUGAAUAUCUUUUAUGUUUAAAACUUUCUUUUUUGAACAAAAUUGUACAGUUACUUCUCUAUUUCAACUCUUAAGCCUUUUAUGCCACGUCAAAGGUUAGCUCUCUUUUCUCUCUGUUAAUAAAGUCUUAUUCUUGACUUUGGAACUGUA